CUUUGAUAUGUCGAAGUUACUGCGAGCAACUAAACCUAUAUCUAGAGUUUUUGUUUUAUUUAUUAUACCAAGGAUUUAGUAAAGAAAUGUUUUAAAUUCGGACGAGCAUGGCGAGGGAGAAUUUAAUUAAAUUUCUUUUCGUUGAGACUUGGAGUUUUUCCCCUGUGAUACUAUUUAUAAGUUCAAGGUUGGUUAGUGAGAGUAGUUGUAUAACAAGUUCUUGUUUUGGUUAUAAAUAUAGAUGGGUAAAAUAUGCUCGUGAAAUACUUUGGCGGUUUAAAAAGUGGGGUCCCGUUAUAUUAUAUAAAGAAAAUUUGCGGGUGUCAUUUAUCGAAAGUGCUCGCUCACAGUAACUACGUCAGUUUUUGCAGUUUAUUGUGUCAUAAGAAUGUGUACAUAUAUAUGAUUAUGAAUUGUUUAAUUAUAGUCCAUUUAAAUGUAUUGGACAAAUGUGUUUGUAUUUAU
rnacentral:lncRNA from 1 species